UACAGGGGGGGGCAAGCGUUGUUCGGAAUUACUGGGCGUAAAGGGCUCGUAGGCGGCCAACUAAGUCAGACGUGAAAUCCCUCAGCUUAACUGGGGAACUGCGUCUGAUACUGGAUGGCUUGAAUCCGGGAGAGGGAUGCAGAAUUCCAGGUGUAGCGGUGAAAUGCGUAGAUAUCUGGAGGAAUACCGGUGGCGAAGGCGGCAUCCUGGACCGAGAUUGACGCUGAACGGCGAAAGCUAGGGGAGCAAACGGG
rnacentral:rRNA from 1 species